rnacentral:lncRNA from 1 species
GUUUUUCUUUGAAAGGUAGAAAUAAAAUACUGCUAAAUAGGUCUGUUUUCUAAAUGCUGCAGAUUUUUUAAAAACUAUUCCAGAUGUUGCAUAUAUUUUGAGCUUCCUCCCUUAAAAUAUCCUUGUUUGUGGCCUAUAGAAUACUGACCUUAAGAAUUAAAGACUCUCCAAAAUUAGAGCUAUCUAGCUGAGUUUUUGUAUCUACGAAUCAACAGAUCUGUUUAGUUGUGUGUGUCUGCCACGUCCCAGGCCCUGCCCGCCAUGCUGGGGAUGCAGCAGAGCUGUUCUGCCCACAUGGAGCUUCCAUUCUCUUGGGAGAAAACGACAGCAACUGAACAAAGCUCAGUGGUUUCAGACCUGGCAAGAGGGUUUUCCCUCCACCUCAUCCCCCACCUUUAACCAGACUUACGUAUAUGAUUCAUAUUAGAAGAAAAAGGGGGCUUCUGAAACCAGAGUGUUGUGAUUUCGAAGAUGUGACUCAACUUCUACAGGGAAUUGAAUGUUUUAUUUACUGUUUUGUUUGUUUUUAGAAAUGAGAGUAGAUAAAAAUUCAUUUGGUUGGAAUGAAGUACAUUGAAUAUUCAAGUAAAUUAGGGAUUAAUUCAACCCAAUGGGUUUUUGGGUUUUGUAUCUGUUAGUACAUCCUGCAUUGGGGGUGAGGUUUCUGUCUGUGUGAGCACUUCUCAAAAUGAAUUUGGACCUUCUCCAGAGAGGC